rnacentral:lncRNA from 1 species
CGAUGGACAGUGGGUUGCAAGGUAGGUGGUCCUCCCUUGAGGGAAGGGGAGGGAAGCAUCCCCCCACCACCACAGUUGGCUGUGGAUCCCACUGUGCAGAGAGAGCCAGGGCCUUUGUCCCUCCCUUCCCCGUCUGGUAGGUGAGAGGGCUGUGGAGGAGGCCGUGCCCUGCAGGAGCUCAAGCUGGUGCCCUUCCAGAGGCAUGAGCUUCAGCACACACAGGACCGCUGGCCCUGUUCUGGAGACCCUUCGGAUGCCCAUUUAUCAUGGACGUGACAUAUGCAAAAAGAGUGUCUCAGCUGACUCAGGGGCAUGUGUGCUGGUGCUGCCAUGGUUGGCUCUGGACUCACCACCAUCUUUCCACUUGCCACCGAUGACCAGCAGGACUGUCCACACCCAGCCGCAGGCCCUGGGGACCCGGUGUGAACUUGCCUUUGCUGGUGCUAGUUCCCCUUGUGCCACCUCCCCACUCCCCGGACGCCACAGGGCCACCUGUUCUCCACACUUCCCAGUCUCCCAGCCUCCAGGGAGGUGGGCCUCCAGAGAGCCUGUGCCCACAGGGUGUAGGCUGGAGAGGCCACUCUCAGACGUGUCCCUGAGAACUGACCCAUGUAACGGUCCACUUGCUCUGGCCCUGGUGCUGCAGCCUGGGCAGUUGGGAGGUCCUCUGUGGGCUGCAGAGGGGAGGUGGCUUCCCAGGGGAUGGCCUAGUGGUGGCACUGGGGGAUGACAAGGGCGAGAAAUGGAUUCCUGUAGAGUCGCCGGGCUCCCAUGGCUGCUUGUUGCCCUGGCCCAGCCUGUCCUGACCCGGCCAGCAAGGUGCUGCUCUCCAGGAAGGCUCCACUCCCGCCAGCCAGUGGCUUCUCCAGGGCUCUGGGGACAGCCUGAGGCCAGGUGCAUCCUCCGCCUCGCCACCCUCCGUGGUGCUGUGUGGCCCUCUGGCCUCUGCCAUCACCUGCUGAGAUGAAGCCAGAAGAAUGGAUUUUCUGCAAAAAUAUCUAAGGAGUAA